rnacentral:rRNA from 1 species
CACGUAGUUAGCCGUGGCUUCCUCGUAAGAUACCAUCACUUAAUGAUCAUUCCCUAUCAUUACCGUUUUUCUCUUACAACAGAGCUUUACGACCCGAAGGCCUUCUUCACUCACGCGGCAUUGCUCGUUCAGGGUUUCCCCCAUUGACGAAAAUUCCCUACUGCUGCCUCCCGUAGGAGUUUGGGCCGUGUCUCAGUCCCAAUGUGGCCGUCUACCCUCUCAGGCCGGCUACGUAUCAUCGCUUUGGUGGGCCGUUACCCCGCCAACUGGCUAAUACGCCGCAGGUCCAUCCAUGUCCGCACCCGAAGGUCCUUUAAUAUAGCCAAGAUGCCUUGUCUAUACCUAUCCGGUUUUAGCAGACGUUUCCAUCUGUUAUCCCGGGUACAUGGGCAGGUUCCCUACGUGUUACUCACCCGUUCGCCACUAAGUCUGUCAAAAGCAAGCUUUCAACAGUCUUCGUUCGACUUGCAUGUAUUAGGCAUGCCGCCAGCGUUCAUCCUGAGCCAGGAUCAAACUCU